CCUACGGGAGGCAGCAGUGGGGAAUUUUGGACAAUGGGCGCAAGCCUGAUCCAGCCAUGCCGCGUGCGGGAAGAAGGCCUUCGGGUUGUAAACCGCUUUUGUCAGGGAAGAAAAGGUUCUGGUUAAUACCUGGGACUCAUGACGGUACCUGAAGAAUAAGCACCGGCUAACUACGUGCCAGCAGCCGCGGUAAUACGUAGGGUGCAAGCGUUAAUCGGAAUUACUGGGCGUAAAGCGUGCGCAGGCGGUUAUGCAAGACAGAGGUGAAAUCCCCGGGCUCAACCUGGGAACUGCCUUUGUGACUGCAUAGCUAGAGUGCGGCAGAGGGGGAUGGAAUUCCGCGUGUAGCAGUGAAAUGCGUAGAUAUGCGGAGGAACACCGAUGGCGAAGGCAAUCCCCUGGGCCUGCACUGACGCUCAUGCACGAAAGCGUGGGGAGCAAACAGGAUUAGAUACCCUGGUAGUCCACGCCCUAAACGAUGUCAACUGGUUGUUGGGAGGGGUUUUCUUCUUCUAGUACGUAGCUACGCGUGAGUAGUACGCCGUCGGGAGGUACGGCCGCGAGUAGUAACGUACGAAGUAGAGUUAGUACGGCGUGAGACGUAGCCGACGGACGACGACGAGGGGAGGAGGG
rnacentral:rRNA from 1 species